GGGGUUGUAGCACAGUGGUAGAGCACUUGCCUAGUAUGUGUGAGGCCCUGGGUUUGAUUCUCAGCACCUCA
rnacentral:tRNA from 1 species